rnacentral:tRNA from 1 species
GGGCGGUUAGCUCAGUUGGGAGAGCGCUGCACUCGCACUGCAGAGGUCGAGGGUUCGACUCCCUUACCGUCCACCA